rnacentral:misc_RNA from 1 species
AGAGAGAGAGAGAGAGAGAGUAACCAAAUCCUCCAUACACAAAACUGUGAGAGAGAGAAAGAGACGGAAGCGCUUCAGAGUUCAGAGUUUAUCUCCACUCACUCAGUACUUUUGAAUCCAAAAACCAGGCAAAUGGGGGAGGUCUUGAAGCUCUGAUAUGAAUCUUUUAACUUUGUUUUGAUCUUUUAUCCUUUUUCUUUUUCACUGAUUUCUGAUUUUGGGUUUGCGUUUGUGUAGGAGGAAAAGAUGCCCGCAGCAGAAGAGAAGAACACGGAGGGGAAAAAACCUGCGGAGGCAAAGAAACCUGAGGGAGAAAAGGCUGAAAAGAAAGAAGAAAAGCCAGCAGAGAAACCACCGGCAGAAGAAAAAAAAGAAGAGAAAAAACCAGAGGAUUUAAAGGAAUCCAAAGAGGAGGUACCUCCAACUCCGCAAGAAAUUGUCCUAAAGGUUUACAUGCAUUGCGAAGGUUGUGCCCGCAAGGUCCGAAGAUGCCUAAGGGGCUUUGAAGGGGUUGAAGAUGUAAUCACUGAUUGCAAGACUAGUAAGGUGGUUGUAAAGGGAGAGAAGGCGGAUCCACUGAAGGUUCUAGAGAGAGUUCAGAGGAAGAGCCAUAGGCAGGUGGAGCUCAUUUCUCCGAUCCCAAAACCGCCGUCUGAGGAGGAGAAAAAGGCGGCUGAAGAAAAGGAGAAGCCCAAGCCAGAAGAGAAGAAAGAAGACCCUCCGGUGAUCGUAGUGGUCCUAAAGGUUUACAUGCAUUGUGAAGCCUGUGCAAUGGCAAUUAAGAAACGGAUACAGAGAAUGAAAGGUGUGGAAUCAGCUGAACCAGAUCUAAAGAGCUCACAGGUGACGGUGAAGGGGGUAUUUGAUCCUCCAAAACUAGUCGAAUACGUGUACAAGAGAACGGGCAAGCACGCGGUGAUAGUGAAGCAGGAGACGGAGAAAAAAGCAGAAGAGAAAGGCAAAGACAAAGAAUCCAAGGAAGAGAAAAAAGGAGGAGGUGGUGACAAAGAAAAUAAGGGUGGUGAACAGGAAGAAAACAAAGAAAAAAAAGAAAGCGUAGGCCAGGCCAAACCGGAGGCGGCAGCGGAACCUACAGUCACAGACGAGACCAAAGUGGUGGAGCUGAAAAAGAACGAAUAUAACUAUUACACACCAAGGUAUGCCAUGGAGUUGUAUGCCUACCCUCCUCAGAUCUUCAGUGACGAGAACCCCAAUGCAUGUUCCGUUAUGUAAAAAGUUUUUGGAUUCGGGGGCAAUAUGGGAUUUGGAAAAAAAAAAAAGGGUGAUAAUCUGCCCAUCCUGCUCUCUUUUACGUGUGCUGCUUGGUUAAAGUAUAAUCUACACAUGAACGGUAGAAUUUUAUGAUGUUCUUUUUUGGUUUUUUUAAACUUCACACACGCGCACACACACACGCGUAUAUAUAUAUUUUAAACCCAUAUAAUAACAAUUAUAUUAACAUUAUUAUGUAGCCUAAUUUGAUCAACGUGUUUAGUUAAAUUAUGCUCCUCCAAUUGUCAUAUAAAAAAAUACGAAUAUUAUUAUUUUAUUUAUAAAAUAAUAUAUUUACGUUUUCAUUCGUACUGUUUGAACAAGUGGGUUGGAAACGUAUAGCAGUUAGAUUUGGGAAAUGAUUGGGAAAUGGACCCAACAAAACUUUGUUUGGCUGAGCACUUACAAUGGUUGAGGUUACAUCCACCAAAAGUCACUAAAACAAAAAGGAGCUAGUAAUGAAUGAUAGGAAGGAAAGAGAUUAGGAGUAUAUAUGAUUAUUUUGUUUUCUAUUCACCAACUAUUAACAGUAAUGAAAUAAUUAAAUAUACAGCUUAAGGAGUGGACUACCACAUGUAAAAAAUAAAUCCAAUAAUUUAAUGAACUGGACUGCCUUGGUGGGAACAGCAAACAGGGUUUUUAAUGUCGCUUUUGAUGUCACUUUUGAAAUAUGAGGAAUCUAUUGUGACAUUUUGGAUGGUGUAAUUGAUAUGAAUAAUGGAAAUGGUGUAUGAUUGGAAUGAUAAUAAAAAGGGUAGCUAGUGUUUUCUAAUGGAACGAGAAAAAGAGGACAAAGAUGGGAAGGACCCCGACAUGUAUGUUGUGGUGCCAAGUUUUCGCAUAUGAACAUUAAAUCCUUCUUUCUCCAAUACUACAAUAUAUUUCACCAUUUACUGUCAAUUUAGCAAAUCAGGCUCUUAGGAAGGGAUUAUGA